rnacentral:rRNA from 1 species
AUUGAACGCUGGCGGCAUGCCUUACACAUGCAAGUCGAACGGUAACAGGUCUUUCGGGAUGCUUACGAGUGGCGAACGGGUGAGUAAUACAUCGGAACGUGCCUAGUAGGGGUGGAUAACUACUCGAAAGAGUGGCUAAUACCGCAUGAGAUCUAUGGAUGAAAGCAGGGGACCUUUGGACCUUGUGCUACUAGAGCGGCCGAUGGCAGAUUAGGUAGUUGGUGGGAUAAAAGCUUACCAAGCCUACGAUCUGUAGCUGGUCUGAGAGGACGAUCAGCCACACUGGGACUGAGACACGGCCCAGACUACUAAGGGAGGCAGCAGUGGGGAACUUUGGACAAUGGGCGCAAGCCUGAUCCAGCAAUGCCGCGUGUAGGAUGACGGCCUUCGGGUUGUAAACUGCUCUUGUACGGAAUGAAAAGUCUUGGGUUAAUACGCUGCGAUCAUGACGGUAACGUAAGAAUAAGCACCGGCUAACUACGUG